GAACCGACCCGGGCUCAUGAGAGGUGGUAGAUGGAGAGAGGGUUCCCCUGGUCUCCCUGAGAAACCCGUAAAAAAUAUUAUGCAUCUCUUUUGCUGGUAUUUAGCUGGGUUAAUAAGAACAUGAACAGUUAAUAAGAACAAGGGCAUUAGAGUUUUUUAAAUGAUGGGGAAAAAAUUGCGAACUCACCUUUUCCGUUUUAAAUGUCAAAAAUAACUAGCAAAAGUUAAGCAUAUGUCUGACCUUGUCCAUCAGCGUUUUUUUUUUCCUGGCUUCAAACUCUGUUUAUAUAUGGGUAUCAACACUAAAGUGUCAGUGGUGGAAUGAGCCUUGUGCACAAGGCAAACAGAAAUGAAAACCGCUGUUCCUAGAAGUUACUGAGCAUUUAGUUCCAGGACACUGGCAAGUGAGAUGGAUCAUCCAGUGUUGCUUGGAGAAAACAGUAAAUACAUUUCUAGUGCACCAGGAAAGCUCUUUCCAGAAGAAUUAACGCUGUUGUAAAAGCACCUCUCUGCAAUAGUGGGCACAAUUCCGACUCCCUCGUGUUGAAAUGAGACAAUGGAGGACUGCUAAGGUGGCUGAGGAAACAGGGCACCUGCCUGUCAGGAAGAGGCUGAAGAGAUUGGGAUAUAAGUGCUCUCUGUAAAUACUUGAGGAGUUAACACCAGUGAGAGGAAAAAACUAUUUAAUUUGAGGGAUGAAGCUGUGAAGAAACUUUGGCUAGUUUUCAGAAACAGCCAUGAGCAACAAAAGAUCUUCUAAGUGUUUUACCCUAAAUCUGCAUAUUCCAGCUCUGAUUUGCACCCGGCUUGUUCAUCAAGUCCUAUUUCAACUUCUGAGUAGAAAAUGCCAAGGCACAUCCUGUGGUAAUGACAUAGCAACUCAACUGUACAGGUGCAUUGUUCGAGUCUUUUGUGUUGAAAUCUAUCAACUUUUGAUUAGAAAUAUAAUUAUGAGCAUCUGGUAGCAGAAAAGACCCAUGAAAUGUGAUGUUUGACGUGGUUUUUUCCAAAAGGGCAUGUUUUUCCCUUUCGUCUCUUACUGUGUGAAAGAAGAACUAGUGAGCCUUCCAGCUCCAUCAUUCCUUUCCAUGUCCUGACAGAGGAGGCCCCCAAGUCCACCCAUGAUAGUGCUGAACAUGUAGACUCUGGUAUGCCACACUUUCCAUAUCAGAAGAAUUUUUCUUCUAGUAGCUACAGAGCCUUUUAACUCUGGCCUUUCUUCUCUGUGCC
rnacentral:lncRNA from 1 species